GCUUACUGGGCUAGAGGCGCAGCAGGUCGAUACAAAGAAUGCCUACACUAACUGCGACGAUGUCUGCAGGGGCCGCGCUGCUUUUCGCGGCGCUCGCUUUAGGGCAAGGUGCUGAUGGGCAGUCAAAUUGCGACAUACAGCGCAAGACUGACUGCUAUUGGUCCGUUGCUGUCAAGUACGGAAUAUUUCCACUUGCACAAGAAGUCGUUCAUGGCGAGGAGUACUAUCUGGGAGACCUGUGCAAAAGCAAUCCAGACACUUGCUACGUGGAAACUAACAGCACCUGUACCGAUGCCGAAAAGAAUAAAUUCACCCGGAUGGAACGAGGCUACGCUGUCCUCCGUGAAGAAAUUACCUCUCCAAACUGCCAGU